GCCCGGUUGGCUCAGUCGGUAGAGCGUGUGACUCUUAAGUUCCUGGUGCUGUACAGGUUCAUGAGGGAUCUCAAGGUCGCGAGUUCGAGCCUCGCAUUGGGCU